rnacentral:miRNA from 1 species
CAAGUCGUAGCCGGUGUUAUUACU